CUUGGUCAUUUAGAGGAAGUAAAAGUCGUAACAAGGUCUCCGUUGGUGAACCAGCGGAGGGAUCAUUACUGAGUUUACGCUCUACAACCCUUUGUGAACAUACCUAUAACUGUUGCUUCGGCGGGUAGGGUCUCCGUGACCCUCCCGGCCUCCCGCCCCCGGGCGGGUCGGCGCCCGCCGGAGGAUAACCAAACUCUGAUUUAACGACGUUUCUUCUGAGUGGUACAAGCAAAUAAUCAAAACUUUUAACAACGGAUCUCUUGGUUCUGGCAUCGAUGAAGAACGCAGCGAAAUGCGAUAAGUAAUGUGAAUUGCAGAAUUCAGUGAAUCAUCGAAUCUUUGAACGCACAUUGCGCCCGCCAGCAUUCUGGCGGGCAUGCCUGUUCGAGCGUCAUUUCAACCCUCAAGCUCUGCUUGGUGUUGGGGCCCUACAGCUGAUGUAGGCCCUCAAAGGUAGUGGCGGACCCUCCCGGAGCCUCCUUUGCGUAGUAACUUUACGUCUCGCACUGGGAUCCGGAGGGACUCUUGCCGUAAAACCCCCAAUUUUCCAAAGGUUGACCUCGGAUCAGGUAGGAAUACCCGCUGAACUUAAGCAUAUCAAUAAGCGGAGGA
rnacentral:rRNA from 1 species